GGCGCACGGGUGAGUAACGCGUAUGCAACCUACCUUAUACAGGGGAAUAGCCCGAAGAAAUUCGGAUUAAUGCUCCAUGGUUUAUCGAUAUGGCAUCGUAUUGAUAAUAAAGAUUUAUCGGUAUAAGAUGGGCAUGCGUAUCAUUAGCUAGUUGGUGUGGUAACGGCAUACCAAGGCAACGAUGAUUAGGGGUCCUGAGAGGGAGAUCCCCCACACUGGUACUGAGACACGGACCAGACUCCUACGGGAGGCAGCAGUGAGGAAUAUUGGUCAAUGGAGGCAACUCUGAACCAGCCAUGCCGCGUGCAGGAUGACGGUCCUAUGGAUUGUAAACUGCUUUUGUACAGGAAGAAACCUCCCUACGAGUAGGGACUUGACGGUACUGUAAGAAUAAGGAUCGGCUAACUCCGUGCCAGCAGCCGCGGUAAUACGGAGGAUCCGAGCGUUAUCCGGAAUUAUUGGGUUUAAAGGGUUCGUAGGCGGCUUUGUAAGUCAGUGGUGAAAUUUCCUAGCUUAACUAGGACACUGCCAUUGAUACUGCAGAGCUUGAAUAGUAUGGAAGUAACUAGAAUAUGUAGUGUAGCGGUGAAAUGCUUAGAUAUUACAUGGAAUACCAAUUGCGAAGGCAGGUUACUACGUAUUUAUUGACGCUGAUGAACGAAAGCGUGGGGAGCGAACAGGAUUAGAUACCCUGGUAGUCCACGCCGUAAACGAUGGAUACUAGCUGUUCGGUUUUCGGACUGAGUGGCUAAGCGAAAGUGAUAAGUAUCCCACCUGGGGAGUACGUUCGCAAGAAUGAAACUCAAAGGAAUUGACGGGGGCCCGCACAAGCGGUGGAGCAUGUGGUUUAAUUCGAUGAUACGCGAGGAACCUUACCAGGGCUUAAAUGUAGAUUGACAGAUUUGGAAACAGAUUUUUCUUCGGACAAUUUACAAGGUGCUGCAUGGUUGUCGUCAGCUCGUGCCGUGAGGUGUCAGGUUAAGUCCUAUAACGAGCGCAACCCCUAUUGUUAGUUACCAGCGCGUAGUGGCGGGGACUCUAGCAAGACUGCCGGUGCAAACCGUGAGGAAGGUGGGGAUGACGUCAAAUCAUCACGGCCCUUACGUCCUGGGCUACACACGUGCUACAAUGGCAAGUACAGAAAGCAGCUACCUGGCAACAGGAUGCGAAUCUCCAAAGCUUGUCUCAGUUCGGAUUGGAGUCUGCAACUCGACUCUAUGAAGCUGGAAUCGCUAGUAAUCGGAUAUCAGCCAUGAUCCGGUGAAUACGUUCCCGGGCCUUGUACACA
rnacentral:rRNA from 1 species